GGUAUCUGUGGAAAACAGGUGGAUUUUUUUGUUGUUGUAAUUUUGACUUGUGACAUGUUUUAAAAGACCUUCAUGCUGUCUUUUAAAUUUGACGUUUCAGACAAGAGCAUAUGCUGCAUUUGACACUUUUUUUUGCUUUAUUUUUGACAUAGUGCGGAUGGACACUGUGCUGUACACUGCAUAUAUUCUAAUGCGCUUUUUCCUGCUUACAGUCCAUGAAGCAUUCAGUGAGUCAACUAAAACUCACCUGAGCAUAUUUCAUAUAUAAUUCACUGCCAUUGUGUUAGUGGCUUUACAGGAAAAUAAAGUUCCUAACAGGUUACCUACACUAUUUGGCAGAUGCAGUAUUGUCAGAAGCCGGUUUAUAUUUUAGAUCAGUUUCUGCGCUCACUACAGGCUCAUGUGCAAAUAAACAAUAGCUGGUAAACAAUGAAAAUAUGGUGUUAAUACAUAUAUAGGAUGUGUACACGGAGGAGCAAAUUGCAAGACUGUAAACUUUGAAUGGAGGCACGUCACUUCUGGGUAAAUUUGCACAGAUAUUAAAUUUCGGCCCCCUCAUUUUAGACUUAGGCCCUAAUGCGAGGCUGAAUUUUUAUAGCGCGCUGAUCGAUAUCGCUGUAAAAAUAAUCAUUUUUUUAAACUAGCGGGCCAGCGAAAUCUUUGCUUUGUGCUAAAGUCAACAGUGGCAGAGUUUGAGCUCAAAUAAAUGCCGCUGUGCCUGGAGCACUCUGCAGAAGGCAGCGGGCGAGCAGCGGGCGAGCAGCGGACUCUCACGCCUUUCCUUCCAGCAGCUUACAGGUAUGGAUCAAUUUGCAAAAGUUCAUCUUUAACAGCCCUAACCCUUCAAACCUUGCUGGAAGUGCUAGCUUGCCAAUCAUCCUCACAACACCUUCACCUGCGACUCAGCAGUCACGUAUGACCUGGCCGCGUAUGAGAGAUAACAUUCGCGUCUGCAGAGCUGAGAGGGGGGACAAAAGGAAGUUUGACGUUAAUGAUUAACGGCACUAAAAGCCCCUGCUUUUGUAUUCCCAUGGUACCGAGGCUAUCUGGUGGCCAUGUGACCUGCGUGGAAGAGAUUGGGGGUGAGCGGUAGAGCAAACACAGGUGCUGUGUUUGGGUUGGAGUUGCCUGUGCUGUCAGGGACAACCACAAACACACGCAGCCAUGCCAAGCUCCACAAACAGCCGCCUACGCCAACAGAUCAAGUCCAAUGUGCUCCUCCCCAUCUUCCUAUAUGUUCCACAUCGGAAAAAAGUAUCUACCAUGUUUAGUGCAUUCUAUCUGGGGCAUCCUUAAGGAACGGGCUUGAAGAUGUAUAGUCUAAAUAAAAACACAAUUGCCUUUUACUUGUAUAAUAAAACCUAACAAUAUAUGCUUUAAUUUA